UGAAGUCUAAUUUCAUAGAAGCUGGAAUCUCUUCUGUAUUGUUGAGCUUUAGUAUUUCACAAAGCUUUCCUAACUCAGGCAUGCUGCAGGUAGCUGGCACACCUCCGCAUGGGUGAAUUUUAACCUCCCGAGCACCGCUUGUCGGUCUCAUUGGUGGCUCUUUGCUCACACCAGGUUCCCCAGCCUAUGAAAAUAAAGCACGGUGGGCCACUCACGCUGUAAGGAGUCUCCUGUGACUGCUGCCACUGAGCUUUGGUGAAAGGACACGUUCAUUACCUCUUUCAGCACUGGAACAACUUCCAACACAGUCAGGAAACACAAAAGUCACUUGAGACCUUCCUUCAAGAGGGACAGGUGUCUAACAACCCAGCAGCUUUCUGCCAUGGACUCGCGGACAUACAUAAAAGCCAAGAAAUAAUUGUUUAUAUAUCAAACCAAUUUUUUUUUUGUGAAAAAAAUUUAAAAUAAUCUAUAUGAUUAAAUAAAAUAAAUCAUUUGUGUGUAUAAGUAUGGCUCCAUAACCAAAAUUUGUGACUGGCAAGGAUGUGCGACAAUGCAUCCUCAAAAUUCUUGUUUUUUGAUAUAAAUGAGACAAAAUGCGUAAACCUGAUGAUUAUUUUUCGAGGGUGGGGUUGGGUUGGGGGGGUAAAGAGGGUCAGGGAGCUUUAACUCGGUGACAAAGGCUCAUUUGCAGGUCAAUGCGAUGGCACACUCGGCUCUCCUCUCCAUCCAUCUCGCCUUUGUUCCCCGUCGCCUGCGCCGAUGCCAGAUGGUCAUGGAAAAUGCUAAUUUUUACCACCAACCCCCCCAUCAUCCUACGUGGCUGAUUUUGCUGCUUUCUAUAUUUAAUUGAAGACUUUGUAGGCUGUCUCAUUAAUUGC